GGGUAAACCUAAGAAAACCAAAAGAUCGAACAGGGAGAUUCAUCGUCAGCGAAACUGGCUUAGCGUCGGUUGGCGAUGACCCCGCGGCGUGUUCUAAGCGGCACGCGCGCGCGGGCACGUUACCGUGCGUUGAUGUCCGGUUUUCGUCGUCGUGCACUUCUCCCCUAGUAGAACGUCGCGACCCGCUGGGUGUCGGUCAACGGCCCGAGUGCGGUGACUGUCGCGUCGCCCGUAAAAACGGCGCGCGGCAAACCCUCGGUCGCCCGACCGGUUGCCCGGCGGUACACGCACGGNAAAAGGCCGCACUAACAGUGCGUCGAGAAGUAGUCGGGCGCGCGCCACGGUUUGAAAAUCGGCGGUAACGGACUUGGCGCCGUCCCCGAUUUUGGCGCGUUCGCGCCGCACGUGUCCAAAGAACUUCGACUGGCCUUGCGAACAUUUCCGCUUGCGCGCGCGGGACCGAUACCGGUCGGCGACGCUACUGCUU
rnacentral:rRNA from 1 species